rnacentral:rRNA from 1 species
GCUAAGGCCCCUAAAUAAUUGCUAAGUGAUAAAGGAAGUGGGAAUGCAUAGACAACCAGGAGGUUUGCUUAGAAGCAGCAAUCCUUUAAAGAGUGCGUAAUAGCUCACUGGUCUAGUGAUCCUGCGCCGAAAAUGAACGGGGCUAAGCAAUUUGCCGAAGCUGUGGGAUGUUAUACAUCGGUAGGGGAGCGUUCUGUUAUAGUUUGAAGCAUUAGCGUAAGCGGAUGUGGACGAAGCAGAAGUGAGAAUGUCGGCUUGAGUAGCGAAAACAUUGGUGAGAAUCCAAUGCCCCGAAAACCUAAGGGUUCCUUUGGAAGGUUCGUCCGCGAAGGGUGAGUCAGGUCCUAAGGCGAGGCUGAAAAGCGUAGUCGAUGGGUAAUAGGUUAAUAUUCCUAUACUAUUUGUUGUUGAUAUCGAGGGACGGAGAAGGCUAAAUCAGCCGGAUGUUGGUUACCGGUUUAAGUUUUCGAAGGUAAUGAUAGAUGGCGAAAACAUCUUGAGCUAAGAAAUGAAUACAAAAUACCAAGGUAUUAAAGUGAUUGACGUCAUACUUCCUAGAAAAGCUCGAAAUGUCUUAAAUAGCAAAUACCGGUACCCUAAACCGACACAGGUAGGUAGGUAGAGUAUACUAAGGGGCGCGAGAUAA